CUACGGGUCGCUCCAGUGGGGAAUAUUGCACAAUGGGCGAAAGCCUGAUGCAGCAACGCCGCGUGGAGGAUGACACAUUUCGGUGCGUAAACUCCUUUUAUAUAAGAAGAUAAUGACGGUAUUAUAUGAAUAAGCACCGGCUAACUCCGUGCCAGCAGCCGCGGUAAUACGGGGGGUGCAAGCGUUACUCGGAAUCACUGGGCGUAAAGAGCAUGUAGGCUGGAUGACAAGUUGGAAGUGAAAUCCUAUGGCUUAACCAUAGAACUGCUUCCAAAACUGUCUUCCUAGAGUAUGGGAGAGGUAGAUGGAAUUUCUGGUGUAGGGGUAAAAUCCGUAGAGAUCAGAAGGAAUACCGAUUGCGAAGGCGAUCUACUGGAACAUUACUGACGCUCAGAUGCGAAAGCGUGGGGAGCAAACAGGAUUAGAUACCCGGGUAGUC
rnacentral:rRNA from 1 species